ensembl:lincRNA
CAUCGUACAUCCUCUGGGUGUCUUGAGGAGCUGGUCUUUGGAUAAUGCUGAGCAGGUCUUUCUUUCUGGUAAAGAUUAUCAUUACAGUGAAGUAAAAGAAUUUAACAGACAGAUUGACAAACAACUGACGAAAGAAGAGAGACGAUUCAAUAGCGGAUGCCCUUCCAGCUGCAACCCAGUACUGGGAAACACCCAUUUACACUCAUACACUUGAACAUGGGGAGAACCUGCAAACUCCACACAGAAAUGACCACUGGCCCAGCCGGGGCUUGAACCAGCAACCUUCUUGCUGUGAGGCGACGGUGCUAACCACUGUGCUGCCCUAUGUGCUCUAUGCGGAGGCCUCUAGAGAUCGUGACCUGUGAAGAGAUGAUGCCACCAUAGAGGACUUCUAAAUGUAUCCAUAAUCCUGAAACAGACCGUAUCAUGAGCAGAUGCUGUGGUGGUCAUGGAGAAGUGGAGAGCAUGAGACUGAUUAAUGAAAGACCCCAGUGACAGAUGAGUGCCCACAUUGACCCUGUGGUCCAGCCUGAAAACCAGCUGGUGACC